ensembl:lncRNA
AAAGCGGCCGCUGAACCACGGGGGGCUCAAGAGGUCCCGGGGAAGCGCGAAUGGAAAAGCGCCGGGCGGAACGACGGGGUAACGGCGUGGCAGGUUAUGGAAAGAGAGCGAGACGGGGAAGCACAGCGAAUGCAGAAGCCGUACCUAAGGAGUUUUUCUCAUCUUUGUUCAACGGUAGCGAGGGGGCGGAUGGCACUGCUCGUGGGAAGGCGUAAGGACGGAGCGGAGCCGCCUGAGAGCCGCCCGCAGCACGGGAGGCCCGAGGGAACCUGCCAGUGACCCCCGGGAGAACGUAACAGUGCAAGAAAUGACAACACGUGAAAAAAGUCGUUUAUUUCUCAGUGUUUCGCCACUGUCAAUACUGUCCUUUUGCUGCACCAGGUUGCAAAAAAAAACUCUCCGCCUUUUCCAUUUUCAACAGCUACAAUAUUUACAGGCCGUUUCCAGUAACACACGCAGACACAUACACACUCACAGACACGCAGGUUGCGUGGUGCCGUGUGUCUCAUCAGAGGAAAGCUCUGAAUUUGGAUCUGAUUGUAAGACGUCCUCUUCUCCCCCUCACCCUGUGCUAAUCAAAGCCCCAUGGCCACUUGUCAGACGGCCAAGGGCACGGAUCUGCGCUGUGAGUUUCCAUGUUGCUGCUCACCAGCCCUUAGGCCUCGUGGAACAGCUGUUCUAAUCCAGAACAUCAUCACACAAUGAAAAGUGGCCCGAGUUCAUGCACUCGUUUAUAGGUUCUCACGAAAGCUUUGAAGAAACAAUCCUGUUCCAUGCUGAGCUCAAUCUGGACUGACAGGACUACCUGGAAAAUCAUCAUCCUUUCUACAGCCAUAGCGGGGGAAAAAUGCUACAUCAAGAUGGAAAUCAUGGAGAAUAGAACAAUAGGAACAAGAAGUUUCCAUCCCCAGGACAGAUCUAUCCUGCGGAGAGUUAGAACAAGUGUUUUGUCACACUCACAGCAGAACCAAGACACAAACUUACACAAACCAACAUACAGUCAGGUAUCAAUCUUUAGGGGUUGGAAUGCAGGAAAACUGAAGGAAAAGAUGCUAAUUUUCCAAAGCCUUAAGGAAGAGUACAAUC